rnacentral:rRNA from 1 species
AUUGAACGCUGGCGGCAGGCCUAACACAUGCAAGUCGAACGGUAACAGGAAGAAGCUUGCUUCUUUGCUGACGAGUGGCGGACGGGUGAGUAAUGUCUGGGAAACUGCCUGAUGGAGGGGGAUAACUACUGGAAACGGUAGCUAAUACCGCAUAACGUCGCAAGACCAAAGAGGGGGACCUUCGGGCCUCUUGCCAUCGGAUGUGCCCAGAUGGGAUUAGCUAGUAGGUGGGGUAACGGCUCACCUAGGCGACGAUCCCUAGCUGGUCUGAGAGGAUGACCAGCCACACUGGAACUGAGACACGGUCCAGACUCCUACGGGAGGCAGCAGUGGGGAAUAUUGCACAAUGGGCGCAAGCCUGAUGCAGCCAUGCCGCGUGGGUGAAGAAGGCCUUCGGGUUGUAAAGCCCUUUUGUUGGGAAAGAAAAGCAGCAGGUUAAUACCCCGCUGUUCUGACGGUACCCAAAGAAUAAGCACCGGCUAACUUCGUG